rnacentral:lncRNA from 1 species
CCAGCAACCCCGUUGUAUCGGAUGGUUGCUUUAUAAUAUAAAGCGGGGGAAACCCCUUUUUCUUACAAUUGAUAUAUGCCCAGUUCUAUUUAGGGUUCAUGUUUGAAGUGUAAUUUGCUGUCUGACACAAUCCAACGCAAUCCACGGGUGGCUCUCUCUGUCUGUCACCGUCUGGUCUGAUAUAGGCGCAGGCAGGUGAACAUUUUGAUUAUUGAGAACACAGAAAUGUCAGCACACAGCUGAGUCUUAAACACUCGUCGUAGCGAAUUUCUCCUUGCACAAGCAGCACGAGCACAAGCAAAUCAAGUCAGCACACACGCACGCACAUAUAAGCUUCUUUCAGAAGAAGCUUAUAACCAGUACUAAUUUUACAUCACAGCGGGCUUCAGUAGCAGGCUGGCAGUUGGAAUAGAAGCAGCCUGACACCUCAUGGCGACCAAACAAAGCGAACUAAACACUGAACAGCUACCAUAAUCCAAAUUAUAGAUUUUCACCUAGCAAUCUAGAGUUCCAUCUCAGGUCGCGUGCUUGUCGUCCUUGAGAUGGCGCACCUUCUCCUUCUCCUUCCACCUAGCAAUUUUUGUUGUUUUUAAACUAUAUGAAAGCACUCAACAGAAAUAAAUGACUCUCUAAAACUUUCGGGUUGUCUCUCUGGCAGCGCUUUCUUUAAAGCCAUUAAGCUAGGCAUAUAGUGCUUAAAUAAUGGAUCCACCCGGAUCCCAAGGUAUAUCAAAGCCAAUUUUAAUUAGCAAUGAUUUGUAAUUUAGCAGUGAGCACAAAGUAACAUAUAUCAUGCAACAACGAAGUCUAACUCUCUUCCUAUGCAUCGACAUGUCAUAAAAGAACAAUUCAUGUACACAUAGUAAAGGCCAAUGCAUAGUAUAAACAAUUUCUUGCAAUUUUAUUGUAUUGGAAAUAUAGAGAGGUGGAGAUAUAGUUCCUCUCUCAUAAUAAUUGCAAGUAGGAGCAGCAAGCACAUGCAUAUUAUACUCAUCAAAAUCAUCAUGUGUAGUAGUAAAAGACAACCCAUCAAUAUAAUCCUUAUAAGGGCAAACUUCUCCGAUAUAGUGUAGUUGGGAGAAUUCAAAAAGAUAAUAGGACUAUCAUGCGUGGGUGCAAUAGCAACAAUUUCAUGUUUAACAUAAGGAACUAUAGCAAGUUCAUCUCCAUAAGCAUAAUUCAUAUUGGCAUCCUGGCCACAAGCAUAGCUAGCAUCAUCAAAAAGGGAUAUUUCCAGAGAAUCAACGGGAUCAUAACAAUCACCAUAGCAAUCAUCCUUCGGUAAGCACGAAGGGAAAUUAAACAAUGCAUGAGUUGGAAAGUUACUCUCAUUAGAAGGUGGGCACGGGUAGCUAAUCCGCUCUUCCUCCUUUUGUUCUCCGCUCUCCUCAUCAUCUUUUUCAUCCAAGGAGCUCACAGUUUCAUCAAUUUCUUCUUCCAUAGAUUCCUGCAAAAUAUUAGUCUCUUCUGGGACAACGGAGUAGUCCUCAAUAUAUGGUUCAACAUAAGCAUUGAAGCAUAAUUAUCAUAGCAAUAUUUAAGUAUGUCAAAAUUUUCAGAUUUGUAAAGAAUAGCAUCAUACGUUUCAAUCAAAAAAGCAAUUUCAUAAGCACCCUUAAAAGCAAUAAAUUCUUUAAUUUGUUGAACAUCAUAGUAAAUAUAAACACCCUUGGCAUACGAAGAUACAAUUCCAUUAUCAAUAAACUCACAUUGGUAGGAAAGGUGUUUCUUAGGGUUUUCAGAACAACAAAUAAUAUCAUAUAUUUCACAUAAAUUCCAAGCAUAGCAUUGCAAACGAUGAAUUUGACCCAGUAAAAGUUUCCCUUUUUCAGAUAUACGGUGUCGCACAUAACAAGCAUGCUCAUCUAAAGAUUUGCCCUCAACUAAGCUAGUUGGGGUUUCAGCACGAGCACAUAGGGAUCAAAGAUGAUUCAAGUAAUAAACUUCAGGAGUGUGGUAGAUUUUGAGUGGUUCUUCAACCAUUGGUUCAGUAGGUACAACUAAUUUUUUUGGUAUUUUGCGUUUCCUACCCAUAACUAAAGAUAGAAAACAAUUAAGAACAGCAAAUAAAAAUUACUUAGUGAUAAAGCAAGCAAGCACACACGAGAAUAUUCACCCCAUGCUAUUGCUCCCCGGCAACGGCACCAGAAAAAGGUCUUGAUAACCCACAAGUAUAUAGGGGAUCGCAACAGUUUUCGAUAAGUAAGACUGUCGAACCCAACGAGGAGCUAAAGGCAGAACAAAUAUUUCCUCAAGUUCUAUCGACCACCGAUACAACUCUACGCACGCUUGAUGUUCGCUUUACCUAGAACAAGUAUGAAACUAGAAGUACUUUGUAGGUGUUUUUGGAUAGGUUUGCAAGAUAAUAAAGAGCAUGUAAAUAAAAAGUAGGGGCUGUUUAGGUAAAGACACAACUAGGUUAGUUUUAAUAUAGAGCUUUUUGUUACGAGAAAGUUAUUUGUUCCUAAGCAAUAGAUAACUAGACCGGUAAUCAUUAUUGCAAUUUUAUAUGAGGGAGAGGCAUAAACUAACAUACUCUCUCUACUUGGAUCAUAUGCACUUAUGAUUGGAACUCUAGCAAGCAUCCGCAACUACUAAAGUUCAUUAAGGUAAAACCCAACCAUAGCAUUAAAGCAUCAAGUCCUCUUUAUCCCAUACGCAACAAUCCCCUUACUCGGGUUUGUGUUUCAGUCACUCACGCAACCCACUAUAAGCGAAUCAUGAACGUAUUGCAACACCCUACAACGGGGAUCCCUCACGCUUGCACGACACGGAGAGCACCAUAGGACAGCACCAAUAGAAAAACAUGCAACUCAAACCAAUCACGAUCAUCAAAUAACCCAUAGGACAAAACGGAUCUACUCAAACAUCAUAGAAUAACCAUACAUCAUUGAGAAAUAAUAUAUAGCGUUGAGCACCAUAUUUAAGUAGAGAUUACAACGGGUAAAAGAGGGGUUACACCACUGCAUAGAGGGAGGAAUAGUUGGUGAUGAUGGCGGUGAAGUUGUUGGUGAAGAUUGCGGUGAUGAUGAUGGUCCCCGGUGGCACUCCGGUGCCACCGGAAGCGAGGGGGAGAGAGCCCCCCUCCUUCUUCUUCUUCCUUGACCUCCUCCCUAGAUGGGAGAAGGGUUUUCCCUCUGGUCCAUGGCUCCAUGGCGUGGGAGGGGCGAGAGCCCCUCCGAGAUUGGAUCUGUCUUCUCUGUUUUUGCGUUCUCAAAUUCUACCCUUUCAUCGUUUCUUAUAUUGCCGGAGAUCCAUAACUCCGAUUGGGCUGAAAUUUUAACACGAUCUCUAUCCGGAUAUUAGUUUUCUUACGGCGAAAGAAGGGCAUCAACCGCCUUACGGGGUGGCCACGAGGGUCAGGGGCGCGCCCCUGCCUCGUGGCCCCCUCGAGUAUCGUCUCGCGUGGAUUUUUCUUCACAAAAAUCAUAUGUAUUCCAAAAAAAAUCUCCGUCAAUUUUUAUUCCGUUUGGACUCCGUUUAAUAUGGAUAUUCUGUGAAACAAAAAAACAUGCAACAAACAGGAACUGACACUGGACACUGGAUCAAUAUGUUAGUCCCAAAAAUAGUAUAAAAUUGCCAAAAAUAUAUAAAAGUUGUAGAAUAUUGGCAUGGAACAAUCAAAAAUUAUAGAUACAACGGAGACGUAUUAGGGCAGGCCGGUGCUUCGGCGCACGGUGGCGCGACUCUGAUGGAGAUGGCGCGGCGUCGGGGGUUGCGGGCGGUGGCGGCCUCGUCGGCCGAUGUGCUGCAGCAUGAUGACAGGGGUUGUCCGGAUCCUUCGAGGUCCGGCCAGGCCUAUGCGGGCCUGAUAAGCUCCUGUCGUCCCAUCCGGUCGGCUCCACGACAGCGAUGGUGGUAGUCCCCACCCGUCGACUGAGUGGCGAAUGCCCCCGAGCCCGUUGGCUCUUCGUCCCUUUCCCAGGUCUCGUGUCGGUGGCUCAGAGAGGCGGCAUUGAUGGUUCGAUGACCGUGAUGGCACAUGUUGAUGGGCGGCAGUUUUGAUGGUGCACUUCUGAUUGUUUGGGGUGGUGGUGGUCGUUUGGGUGGGAGAAAUCCCUGGUGGCUCGUCCAUCAUCAACGCGAUGACACCGUCAUACCUUCCCUUCCCAUUGCCCUCUACGUACAGAAAGAAAAACCCUUGGACUUGUUCGGACAACAAUGGCGUCGUUGUCGCAUUCCUUCCUGAAGAUGCUGCCCAGUACGUGACGCCUCGACCUUCCCUUCCCAUUGCCCUCUACGUACAGAAAGAGAAACCCUUGAACUUGUUCGGACAACAAUGGCGUCGUUGUCGCAUUCCUUCCUGAAGAUGCUGCCCAGUACGUGACGCCUCGAAGUGCUAGAAGCGCGGCUGCAGUGGCGUCAUCGUCACAUUCCUUCCUGAAGGUACUGCUCAGUGACAUUCCUUCCUUCCUGAAGGUACUACUGCUCAGUACGCGAUGCCUCGAGGUGCUAGAAGUACGGUGGUACUGGUACUUCUUCGGAGGAUGCAGCGGUUACGCACCCGGCCAUCUUUGUUUUGUCGAUAUGUGGUUGUUGGCAUUUAUUUCUCUCUUUAUCUCAUUUUUUUUUCUUUCUUGGAAACCCCUUUUUCUUACAAGGGAUAUAUGCCAGUUCUAUUUAGGGUUCAUGUUUGAAGUGUAAUUUGCUGUCUGACACAAUCCAACGCAAUCCAGGAGAGAGUAGCUCUCUAUGUCCGACACCGUCUGGUCUGAUAUAGGCGCAGGCAGGUGAACAUUUUGAUUAUUGAGAACACAGAAAUGUCAGCACACAGCUGAGCCUUAAACACUCGUCCUAGCGAAUUUCUCCUCGCACACAAGCAGCACGAGCACAAGCAAAUCAAGUCAGCACGCACGCACGCACAUAUAAGCUUCUUGCAGAAUAAGCUUACAACCAGUACUAAUUUCACAUCACAGCGAACUUCAGUAGCAGCCUGACACCUCAUGGCGACCAAACAAAGCGAACUAAACACUGAACAUCUACCAUAAUCCAAAUUAUUGAUUCCCACCUAGCAAUCUAGACUUUCAUCCUAGGUCGCGUGCUUGUCGUCCUUGAGAUGGCGCGCCUUCUCCUUCUCCUUCACCUCCGAUCCCUGCGACUUGUCAUACUCUGCGCACAUGAAAACGCGGAUCAAUUCACCACUCGCACCAUGCCACCAUCACAGAU